rnacentral:rRNA from 1 species
UAAUCUACCUUUGAAGUCUGGGAUAACCUUGGCAAACUGAGGGUAAACCCGGAUAGGGAAAAAAUACUGGAAUGUUUUUUUCUUCAAAAGCAAUGCUUCAAGAUGAGUCGGCGGUGGAUUAGGUAGUUGGUGAGGUAACGGCUCACCAAGCCGAAGAUCCAUAAGGGCCUUGAGAGAGGUUGCCCUGAGAGGGACACUGAGAUACAGGUCCCAGCCCUAAGGGGUGCAGCAGUCGGGAAGACUUUACAAUGCGCGCAAGCGUGAUAAGGGGAUUCUGAGUGCUCAGGUACAACCUGGGCUUUUGCCAAGAGCAAAUAUCUUGGAGAAUAAGUGGUGGGCAAGACUGGUGCCAGCCGCCGCGGUAACCCCAGCGCCACAAGUGGGAACCACGUUUAUUGGGUCUAAAGCAUCCGUAGCCGGCUUCUUAAAUUUUCUGUGAAAUCGUUGCGCUUAACGUAACGGCGUGCAGGGAAGACUGGGAAGCUAGGGACCGGGAGAGGUACAAGGUAUUCCAGGGGGAGCGGUAAAAUGCUUUAAUCCUUGGAGGACCACCGAUGGCGAAGGCAUUGUACCAGAACGGAUCUGACGGUGAGGGAUGAAAGCUAGGGGAGCGAACCGGAUUAGAUACCCGAGUAGUCCUAGCCGUAAACGCUGCGAGUCAGAUGUCACACAUUCUUCGUGAAUGUGUUGUGUCGAAACGAAGGUGUUAAACUCGCCACCUGGGAAGUACGGCCGCAAGACUGAAACUUAAAGGAAUU